GUGAGUCAUCGAAUCUUUGAACGCACCUUGCGCUCCCUGGUAUUCCGGGGAGCAUGUCUGUUUGAGUGUCAUGAACUCUUCAACCCACCAAUUUCUUGUAGAUUGAAUGGUGUUUGGAUUUUGAACGCUGCUGGUCUUUUAGACGUAGUCUCGUUCGUAAUACAUUAGCAUCUCUAAUUCGAACUCGGAUUGACUCAGUGUAAUAGACUAUUCGCUGAGGACACUUUUAUUAGUGGCCGAAUGAGAUAAUUGUAGACGCUUCUAACCCCUAUAGUCAACUUUGUAUUAGACCUCAGAUCAGGCAGGAUUACCCGUCUGAACUUAAGCAUAUCAAUAAGCGGAGG
rnacentral:rRNA from 1 species